GAUGAACGCUAGCUACAGGCUUAACACAUGCAAGUCGAGGGGUAACAAGAGGAAAGCUUGCUUUUCUUGUUGACGACCGGCGCACGGGUGAGUAACGCGUAUCCAACCUGCCUAUAACUAGGGAAUAACCUUGCGAAAGUAAGACUAAUACCCUAUGAUUUCCUUUGAUGACAUCAGAUUAGGGAUAAAGAUUUAUCGGUUAUAGGUUGGGAUGCGUCUGAUUAGCUUGUUGGCGGGGUAACGGCCCACCAAGGCAACGAUCAGUAGGGGUUCUGAGAGGAAGGUCCCCCACAUUGGAACUGAGACACGGUCCAAACUCCUACGGGAGGCAGCAGUGAGGAGUAUUGGUCAAUGGGCGGAAGCCUGAACCAGCCAAGUAGCGUGCAGGAUGACGGCCCUAUGGGUUGUAAACUGCUUUUAUACAGGAAUAAAGUUAGCCACGUGUGGUUAUUUGUAGGUACUGUAUGAAUAAGGACCGGCUAAUUCCGUGCCAGCAGCCGCCGUAA
rnacentral:rRNA from 1 species